GGCCUGGUUCCAGGCUUUAAACAAAAACAAAGUAUUUGAGAAGCAGUCGCUGAACACGCAGCCUUGCAGGACACGGGAUAUGAGUCUCCCCUGCUCUGAUGCACUGGUAUUUUUGCCCUCGCUGGCUGCAUGAAGGGAUUUUGAAGGCAGCUCUGACUGUGACCAGGCUAACAAAAGGAAAGGGACACCAUUUCUUUAAAUGACAGGAGUGAUGGUGUUAACAGUGGUGAGGGGAGAGAGAGAGAGAGAGAAGAAAAACUACAGUCUUAACGAAUCAUUUCUCCGUUAUUUCCCCUAUUCACUGUGUUCAUUUCAAUAGAGAGACAGAAUGUGGAAGAAAGUAAGACAAUGCAACAAAUGGAAGGAGGCAGACGUGUGGAGAAAGCAGGGGAGGGAUAAUGGGAGGAGUAACAUCAGCUAGAAACUGAAGUGCACUCAGCUGAUUACACACAACGCUCCCCAUCAAUAGAAAUAUCUCCAGGAAAUGCCACCUCAAGAAGGCAACAUUCAUCAUCAACUACCUUCAGGAUCCAAGUGACACCAUCUUCUUGCAUCUACCAUCAGUUUUUCAGUUGGAAUAUCAAACUGACACUGAAACUAUCCCUGGCUCUCCGCUCAUCCUUCAUCAGGCUACUGUUAAGUGAUUACAGCUCAGCAUUCAACACAAUCGUACGCUCAGUUCUAAUCAACAAUCUCCAAAACCUGAGCCUCUGUAUCUCCUUCUGCAACUAGAUCCAUGACGUCCUCACUGGGAGUCUGUAUGGAUUGGAAAUGACAUGUCCUCCUUGCUGACAAUUAAUACUGGUGCACCUUGAGCACAUGUGCUUAGCCCACUGUUCUCCUAUCUCUUUAACCAUGACUUUGUGGGUAAGCAUCUGUAUCAUCUAUAAAGUUGCUGAUGACACAAUUACAAUUGGCAGAAUUUCAGAUAGUGACCAGGAAUGAGAUAGAGCAUUUGGUUCAGUGGUGUUGCAACAACAACCUUAUGCUCAACAUCAGUAAAAUCAAGGAAUUGAUUGUGGACUUCAGGAAGGGGAAGUUGAGGGAACACACACCUGUCCUCAUCAAGGGAUCAGCAGUGGAAAGGGUGAACAGUUUCAAGUUCCUGCGUGUCACGAUUUCUGAAGAUCUGUCCUGCAUCUAACAUAUUGAUGCAAUUGCAAAGACAGUGGUUAUAUUUCAUAAACUGUUUGAAGAGACUUGGAAUGUCUCCCAAGACACUCACAAACAUCUACUGGUGUACCGUGGAGAGCAUUAUAACUAGUUUCAUCACUACCUUGAAUGGAAGGGCCACUGCGUAGGAUUGAAAAAAGCUGCAGAAAGUUGUAAACUCAGCCAGCUCCAUCACGAUCACUAGACUCUACAGUAUCCAGGACACCUUCUAAAGGCGAUGCCUCAGAAAGGUGGCAUCCGUCAUUGAGGACCUCCAUCACCCAGGACAUGACCUCUUCUCACUGCUACCGUCAAGGAAGAGGCACACACUCAGCAUUUCAGGAACAGCCUCUUCCCCUCUGCCAUCAAAUUUCUGAAUGGACAAUGAACCCUUCAAAUAUACCUCACUAUCAUUUUUGAUCUUUAGGCACUACUUAUUAAUUUUAAUUUUAAAUACUUUCCUUAUUGUAAUUUAGAGUUUUCUUUUAAGUUAUUUUGUAUUGCAAUGUACUGUUCAAAGCUUAAAGUAAAUUUAUUAUCAA